rnacentral:lncRNA from 1 species
GGGGUCACUUUGGAGGCAUGAAUUGAGCCAGAUUAUUAGUAAAAUGCCUUCCAACUGUGAGCUUCUGUGCUGUGUAGGCGAUAGGAGGGCCUGGAUCUUGUGUGGGGAUCUCUCUACUCAUGCAGGCCUUAAGAAGGUGAGGAAACAGAGACCUGGAGAGAAUAAAUGGCUUGUUGAGCCCAGGAUGGCCCUGGGAUUGGCUUUGGGGUUCUGCCUUCCUCCUCCUGACUCCACCAUGGAUCCCACACUCUGGGCCGGUGAAUGGUGGCUAACCUACAAGAUGUUUAAAUGCGGAGUGGACUUCCUUAUUCCCUCAGCAGGAUCAAUUUCAACACAGAAGAGUGGCAAGGGCUAA